rnacentral:lncRNA from 1 species
GAUGACACACUUGGAAAUCCGUGUCUUUGAGCAUCAUAAAGAAGUUGUGCAUCUGCUAAAAUCGGUUUCCAAUUGAACAUACUUCUUUCUGAAAUAAAUAUUAUAGUUUGAUUACAUUUUAGGGUGUCUGAGGAGUAAACAGAAACAUAUUUUGACUUGUUGAAAAAAAGUUUAGGGCUAGAUUUUCGGAUUCCUUUCUCUGCAAGUCGAACGAGUGGAUUACUCAAAUCGAUGGCACCAACGAAACAGACUUUUUGGGAUAUAAAGAAGGAUUUUAUCUAACAAAACGACACUACAUGUUGUAGCUGGGACCCUUUGGAUGACAAAUCAGAGGAAGAUUUUCAAAAAAACAGCGCAAAUUGGAUUUAACCAGAAUAGAAAGAGGAGGCCCCGGUGCACAACUGAGCAAGAGGCCAGGUACAUUAGAGCGUCUAGUUUGAGAAACAGACACCUUACAAGUCCUCAACUGUACACAUCACUGACAAACUGAAAUGGUACACACACACAGAUUGUGUGGUGAAGAAAGCGCAACAGAGCCUCUUCAAUUUCAGAAGACUGAAGAAAUGUGGCUUGGGACCUAAAACCCUCACAAACAUUUACAGAUGCACAACUGAGAGCGUCCUAUCGGGCUGUAUCACCGCUUUGUACGGCAACUGCACCACCCGCAACCGCAAGGCUCUCCAGAUUGUGGUGCGGUCUGCCCAAUGCAUCACCGGGGGCAAACUACCUGCCCUCCAGGACACCUACCCUUUGUCACAGGAAGGCCAAAAAGAUCAUCAAGGACAACAACCACCUGAGUCAUUGCCUGUUCACCCCGCUACCAUCCAGAAGGCGAGACAUACUUUCCUGGAGAGAGAAGAGCUUCAUCAAUUAAGAUCAAUCAAUCAGCACUGCUUCCUAUGCAAUCAACUUCAUCCUGGGCCUCCCCACUAAUAUCUACAUCCUGUGGCUGAUAGCGACUGAAGUGGAAGGGAGGAUGGCCUCAGAGUUCUUCACUCUCAACCUGGCCUUGUCUGAGGUCCUCUUUUGCCUGUCAGCUAUCCUAUAUUUUAUCUGGCUACUUCACCCCACCAUCAUUAUUUUGUGCAUUUUGGUAUUUUCUAAUGACAGGCCGUCCGCUGUUCCAGUGCUGUAUCUGUGUAGAGCGCUACCUGGCAGUGGUCCACCCUGUAGUCUACCUGAAGUACAAACCCCUGAGAUACAGGGUGGGGUGUUGUCUGGCUGAUGGUGCUUGUGUCCUGUCUUUUCUUUAUGCUUGGGAAUAAAAUAACUUUUUUAUUUUAUGCUUACUUGGGUGAGUUUCUGAUGUUGUUUUUAUUGAAGCUAUUCUGCUGCCUCUCAGUUCUCAGGGCUCUGAAACGUCCCGGGCCGGGGGAAGGGGAGAGGGAG